CAAGUCGAACGAGAAAGUCCCCUUCGGGGGAUAAGUAAAGUGGCGCACGGGUGAGUAACACGUAGGUAAUCUACCUUCGGGUGGGGAAUAACCCAGGGAAACUUGGGCUAACACCGCAUAAUGCAGCGGCACCACAUGGUGACAGUUGUUAAAGCGGGGGAUUUUAGGACCUCGCGCCUGAAGAGGAGCCUGCGGCGGAUUAGCUAGUUGGUAAGGUAACGGCUUACCAAGGCGACGAUCCGUAGCCGGCCUGAGAGGGCGGUCGGCCACACUGACACUGACAUACGGGUCAGACUCCUACGGGAGGCAGCAGUCGGGAAUUUUGGGCAAUGGGCGAAAGCCUGACCCAGCAACGCCGCGUGAAGGAUGAAAUCCCUCGGGAUGUAAACUUCGCAAGAAUGGGAAGAAUUAGUAGGGGCUAAUACCCCCUAUGAUGACGGUACCAUUUGUAAGCUCCGGCUAACUCCGUGCCAGCAGCCGCGGUAAUACGGGGGGAGCAAGCGUUGUUCGGAUUUACUGGGCGUAAAGGGCGCGUAGGCGGUCAGCACAAGUCAGUUGUGAAAUCUCCGGGCUUAACUCGGAAAGGUCAACUGAUACUGUGCGACUAGAGUGCGGAAGGGGCAACUGGAAUUCUCGGUGUAGCGGUGAAAUGCGUAGAUAUCGAGAGGAACACCUGCGGCGAAGGCGGGUUGCUGGGCCGACACUGACGCUGAUGCGCGAAAGCCAGGGGAGCGAACGGGAUUAGAUACCCCGGUAGUCCUGGCCUUAAACGAUGGAUGCUUGGUGUCUGGGGUUUUAUAGUCCCCGGGUGCCGUAGCUAACGCGUUAAGCAUCCCCGCCUGGGGAGUACGGUCGCAAGACUGAAACUCAAAGGAAUUGACGGGGACCCGCACAAGCGGUGGAGCAUGUGGUUCA
rnacentral:rRNA from 1 species